rnacentral:lncRNA from 1 species
GUAACUCUGCCCAAAGGCAUGACGUUUAUCUUAGAGAAUGCAAUAUUCUCCUCCAAGUAUAGGAAGAACUUGUUGAGUUUUAAUGAUAUCAAUCGCAAUGUUCUCCUCCAAGUCUAAAAGAAGAACUUGUUGAGUUUUAAUGAUAUUAAUUGCAAUGUUCUCCUCCAAGUCUAAAAGGAACUUGUUGAGUUUUAAAGAUAUCAUUCAA